rnacentral:rRNA from 1 species
CCUACGGGUCGCAGCAGUGAGGAAUAUUGGUCAAUGGACGAGAGUCUGAACCAGCCAAGUAGCGUGAAGGAUGACUGCCCUAUGGGUUGUAAACUUCUUUUAUAUGGGAAUAAAGUGUUCCACGUUUGGGAUUUUGUAUGUAUCAUAUGAAUAAGGAUCGGCUAACUCCGUGCCAGCAGCCGCGGUAAUACGGAGGAUCCGGGCGUUAUCCGGAUUUUAUGGGUUUAAAGGGAACGUAGGUGGAUUGUUAAGUCAGUUGGGAACGUUUGCGGCUCAACCGUAAAAUUGCAGUUGAAACUGGCAGUCUUGAGUACAGUAGAGGUGGGCGGAAGUCGUGGUGUAGCGGUGAAAUGCUUAGAUAUCACGAAGAACUCCGAUUGCGAAGGCAGCUCACUGGACUGCAACUGACACUGAGGCUCGAAAGUGUGGGUAUCAAACAGGAUUAGAUACCCCUGUAGUC